rnacentral:rRNA from 1 species
UACGGAGGAUCCGAGCGUUAUCCGGAUUUAUUGUGUUUAAAGGGUGCGCAGGCGGGAGAUUAAGUCGGCGGUGAAAUUUUGCAGCUCAACUGUAAAAGUGCCUUCGAAACUGGUUUCCUUGAGUGUAGAUGAAGUAGGCGGAAUUUGUGGUGUAGCGGUGAAAUGCAUAGAUAUCACGAGGAACUCCGAUUGCGAAGGCAGCUUACUAAGCUACUACUGACGCUCAGGCACGAAGGCGUGGGGAUCAAACAGGAUUAGAUACCCCU